rnacentral:lncRNA from 1 species
CUUAAAGAAACCCAUCCUAAAUGGCCGCAACAUGGGUAAAUAAGCUAAGAGGUCAGUGCUCGCUUAAGAGACUGCACUCACUACUGGUCGAGAUGAAUACAGCUUGAUUUUAUCUAACCCAUCUACUGAAACUGCACAGGCUUCCUCCAUCCCUGGCACCACCCUUGCACUACUGCGAGGAACAUGACCCUGUUGAGCAGCCCCAUCCAUUCUUCCAAACAACAGGAGCAGCAGCACUGUAACUGCAAAUAAAACGAGAAAGGUCUUUUGGGGCAGGAUUUCUGAGGAGAUCCCAAACAAGAAGUACUGGACAAAGGCAAUUCUUCCCUCUUUGUACCUUAAGAGCUGCAAAUGAGUUUCCUGCAACAGGGAGCACUGAAGUUUCUUCAGAGAAACUUAAAGGUCCUGCCUUUUUCCCUGUAACAGCUAAACUCACACAGGCUGUGGCUCAUGACACCCAAUGCUUACUUCAUUUCUUU